GUACGACAGCAAAGUUCCUUGAUUAUUACACCGGAAUGAGAGUAUAGUUCCUAGCCAUAUCGGCCUAGAAAAUCACAACUUUUCAUUUUCCGUCGGUCUUAGUACAUGAUGUAACUACAGAAGAGUCAAGUUUUAAAUAGGAAAAAUAUUGAAACUCUUUGGUCAUUUUUUAACGAGAUGCUAACGGUCUAAUCCGAUUCAAUGAACUAUGCUAAGCUAUGCAAAAAGUGGUACCGCCAGACCCGGAGAUCUGCUGAAUGGAUUCGAAAACGGUAAAACUCAACUGUUUAACUCUAGGGGAGUUGGAAAAUGAGCCUAUUUUCAAAAAAAGCGAAGUGUUCCUUUAAUAAGGAUGUGCAUGUUUUAUUAUCGGAUAAGGUAAGGUUCUCUUUAUGUGGUUGAGUUUUAACUCUUGGCUGAACUUGUGCAGCUGUAUCCUGUGAGAUUAUUCUGUAUUUAUUCAGCUGUCUUCAAAGAACCCCAAUCAUCAAAUGAUACACUGGAAAUUACUACAUAGGGUUUACUUGACUCCUAUGUAAUGUUUCUAUAUAAAUCUAUCCUCCUCUCCUAAGUGUAAUCUCUGUUUUUAAGGAUCUCUAGACAUGUACUUGCACUUCUUUUGGGAUUGUCCCUCUCUCUCACCUUUUUGGACCCAGCUCUCACAGGAUCAUAUCUGUUAGGCACUGAUAUAUGUUUGACUCCACGCCACUUUUUUUUAAAUGAUUUUUGGGACCUUGCAUUAUCCACUCAACAAAGGUGUUAAAAAAAAAUGUUAGUCAACUGUUGGAAUCCUCCUCACACAAUGGACAGACGAACGUGGACAGUGUCUUUGUUUCAUGGAUCCAAUGUUAAGACUGUGAAUUUAUGAGGCUGUAAGAAGAAAUCCUGUAUGUGCACAGACAACUGAGCUGAAGGUCGAAAAAGUUAUUAAACGGUGGUUUCAUCUAGAUGGUGACCUCAUGUGAUCUCAUGAGAAUACAUAUGUGUUUUCAUGGAAAGUGUGGUUCUACCAUGUACAUAUACUUACGUUUUCAUACAUAAUAAUACGCAAUACACCUUGUAACUAAAACGUUAAUUAUUGACAGCACUGAAACAAAUUAUUUACAUAAUGAACAACUUUACAGACCUACAAAUGCGUACAAAUUUCUAUUCAUGAAUAUUAAAAUCAUGGCAAUAAUGUUUUGAAUCUAUUGUGUUUAACUGUCAAUUAAAUGUUUUAAGUCACGUUUAUUAAAUGCUGAUUCAUCUACUUAA